rnacentral:rRNA from 1 species
GACGAACGCUGGCGGCGUGCUUAACACAUGCAAGUCGAGCGGAGCGGCGAACGGGUGAGUAACGCGUGAGUAACUGCCCCCCUCUCUGGGAUAACAGUUGGAAACGGCUGCUAAUACCGGAUAGUGGGGGAUGACUCGCGUCCUAUCAGCUUUUUGGUGGGGUAGGGGCCUAACAAGGAGACGACGGGUAGCCGGCCUGAGAGGGGGACCGGCCAAAUUGGUUUGAGAUACGGCCCAAACUCCUAUGGGAGGCAGCAGUGGGGAAUAGAGAACAAUGGGGGAAACCCUGAUGCAGCAACGCCGCGGGCGGGAUGACGGCCUUCGGGGUGUAAACAGCUUUCAGCCAGGACGCGGUAGUGGCAGAAGAAGCACCGGCUAACUACGUGCCAGCAGCCGCGGUAAUUC